CUCCCUUGGUAGGGUGGAGGUCACCAUGAUUGCAGUCUUGGGGCUGGCACGAGCAGAGCUGACCGGGCCAGCUGCCUUCCUCCUGCAUGCCAUGAUGAACCCAGGGAAGAGAGGCCGCAGGAAGACUCUCAUCUGGGAGGCUGGACAGAAUUUCAGACGGCCCGAGCUCACCUUCUUGCACCCCCAGGUUGCCCAACAGUGGCCUCAGAAUAGUCUGGGUGAUCUUGAGGGCGAGUUGCUUGAUGCGUUUGUACGGGUUCUAGCAUCCAGAGGUGUGGUCUUCCAUGAACCAGAUCUCGCUCUUGGCACGAGCAUUGCUGCUCAUGGUCCUGGGGGCUCCUUCUGGUCUCCUGGCUGCCAGUGGCCUUGGGUCCUUGGUGUGCAGUUGCCCACUCUCUGCCUGCUCCCUGGGCCCUUUCUACUCUCUUAUCAGGACACUCACUGGGGGCAGGGCCCACCACAGUCCAGGAUCACCGUCCUUACCAUAAUCAUCUCCGUGAAGGCCCUCUUUCCAAAUAAGACCACAUCCUGUGAUUCUGGGUGGACAUGAAUGUGCAGGGGACACUCGUCCAACCCACUGCCGCCCUCGACUGCCUGUACUCUUCCUUCUUUCUUCCCCCCAGUCUGUUGGUCUUCUCUUUUCUGUUGAGUGAGUCCAGCAGGCUACCUGCCAGUCUCAGCUCGGGCAUGUGACCCCUUCCUUUGGGGAUGGAAAAGCAUUCUCUUUGGCCUCGCCAGUCAGCCAGGCAUUCCAAGCUGGUCUUUCCAUUUGGGGCUUCUCAUCAGUUGGUCUAUUGUUUAUACAAAUCCCAAACCGUGGAACGCUCUUGGUAAACACUCUCCCACUUACUCUGAAAAUGCUGGCCCUGGGGCCUGAGAUUCCCCCCUUCCCCAGGAGAGCCGGGCUGGGCUUUUUUCACAGAUUUCGGGGCUUUUGGAAAGGGUGUGUUUUUCCUAACUCACUUCAAAUGCCUUUCUUAACAAAACCUCGGAACCUUUGGAAAAUGGAAAAGCAGUAGCUCAUCUGGAAGGAAAUUCCAAGUUUUAAGAACCUGCAACCAAAUCCUUGGCAUCCGCGGCUGUCCUUGGCGGGCAUCUCUGGCCGCCGGGUGCGUCUCCAGCCGAGACUUCUUCAUCUUGUUCCGUUGGUGGUCUAUGUUUAAAUUCCUGCUCAGAAUUUUUCCAGUGGGCCUUCUUCUCCUCCAGAAAAAGUCCAUGUGUGGUGCCAGCCCUGCGUCCGGUCCUGGUUCUCUGACGUCUGACCGUUCCGCGUGGCUGGAAACUCAGAGCAGGCGGUGGAGGGGAAGGCGGGCAGUGGCAGAGGCCGGGUUUGAGUGAGUCAUUGCCAGUCUUCAUGGUGUAACCGGGAGUCAUUCCAGGUUAGCGGUUUGUAAAGUGGUCAGCUCCAAGGGGAAUAGCCACCCCCGGGGAAUUUUAAAUAUAUAACAUGACAUCAAAGACCAAAGGUGCCCCAGGGCAUGGGUUUCUCAGCAGGGACCAGCAGGCUCACACUUGGAUGCCCUCAGAAAGCAGGUGAAGAGACCUGCUAAGAGCCACUUUCCCCACUUGGGAUCUCCAUUGAAUGGACACGAAGCCUGUGUGAGCUGUCACUGCCUGUCCCUCUGGCCACACUUGUCCUGGGUGGCCCCGCUGUGGUUCAGCUGAGAACUCUGCUUCCUGAGGAUGAGGAGAGUGGGAGAAGCUGUCUGGGAGACACUUUUAUGUGUUCCUGUCUCUGGGGAUCCCCUAAUGUGCCUGUGAACUGACCCCAACUGUUUAUGCAACAUUUUUUGAGCACCUGGUGCAUACCAGGAGAUGAUCUUGGGUCAUGAUUCCCUUUCCUGUGUUGUCCCAUCCGUCAGGGCAAGGUUGUUGUGAAGGACAAAGGACAAAGGGGACAAGGACUUGAGGAGGUGAGGAGCCACGUGCCUUGGGUGUGGGGAAGGAGUACCCUGUGGCGAGGACAGGUGGGCAGUGGGGAGGAGUCAGUGUUGGAACUGGGUUGAUUGGAUCAGCACUUGUCCCCUGUUGGUCUGACCCUGACUGACAGCCUGAAGUCCUCCGUGAGUGUUAGCCUCAGGUCAGGCCCUAAUGUGAAGCCUGAACUUGGCCUCUGACCUCAGCUGGCCGUGGACCUGGACCAGUCCCUGUGUCUCAGCUCUGCCUCAGCUCUGGCUCUGUGAAUCUGCCCCUUACCCAAAGAUCCCUGGAUGACCCUUGCCACUCAGCCUUCCAGGCUCGGGGUUCCUGCCCCACCACCCUGGAGGACCUCCCCGAGGCCGGCUCCUAACCCAGCCCUGCUUUCCCUCCAUGCAUCUGUGCUCUGAGAUCCACACUGUCACCCACUCACCACCGCUGGGCCACUGUGAGCACCAACCUAGCUCAGGCCUAGUGUCCCCUGCUGCAGUCCCUGUGGAAACAGCUCCUGCAGUGCUAGCCCACUCUGCUCUGGCUCCAGCGUGGCUCACCCUCGACCCCUCCUGCCUGUCUUCCUGAAAGUUAGCUAAUGGCAAGGCGUCUUUGGCUGGGGCCUCACACUUGGCUGGUGACUGCCAUUGCACAUGUCAUAAGGUAAG
rnacentral:lncRNA from 1 species